GCGUGGCGCAGCGGUAGCGCUCCGGCUUUGGGAGCCGGUGGCCGCGGGUUCGAAUCCCGCCGC
rnacentral:tRNA from 1 species